rnacentral:rRNA from 1 species
GAUCCUGGCUUAGGAUGAACGCUAGCUACAGGCUAACACAUGCAAGUCGAGGGGCAGCAUUGGAGUAGCAAUACUCAGAUGGCGACCGGCGCACGGGGUGAGUAACACGUAUCCAACCUGCCGCUUACUCGGGGAUAGCCUUUCGAAAGAAAGAUUAAUACCCGAUGGUAUAAAGAGUUCGCAUGUUCUCUUUAUUAAAGAAUUUCGGUAAGCGAUGGGGAUGCGUUCCAUUAGAUUGUUGGCGGGGUAACGGCCCACCAAGUCUACGAUGGAUAGGGGUUCUGAGAGGAAGGUCCCCCACAUUGGAACUGAGACACGGUCCAAACUCCUACGGGAGGCAGCAGUGAGGAAUAUUGGUCAAUGGACGAGAGUCUGAACCAGCCAAGGUAAGCGUGAAGGAUGACUGCCCUAUGGGUUGUAAACUUCUUUUAUAAGGGAAUAAAGUGAGGGACGUGUCCCUUUUUGUAUGUACCUUAUGAAUAAGGAUCGGCUAACUCCGUGCCAGCCGCAGC